AUUGAACGCUGGCGGCAGGCCUAACACAUGCAAGUCGAGCGAGCGGCGGACGGGUGAGUAAUGUAUGGGGAUCUGCCCGAUAGAGGGGGAUAACUACUGGAAACGGUAGCUAAUACCGCAUACUAUCAGAUGUGCCCAGAUGGGAUUAGCUAGUAGGUGGGGUAAUGGCUCACCUAGGCGACGAUCCCUAGCUGGUCUGAGAGGAUGACCAGCAACACUGGAACGGGGACACGGUCCAGACGCCUACGGGAGGAAGCAGGGGGGAAUAUGGCAGAAUGGGCGAAAGCCGGAGGGAGCAAUGCCGCGGGAGGGAGGAAGGCCUUCGGGUUGGAAAGCACUUUCAGCGAGGAGGCGGUACUCGCAGAAGAAGCACCGGCUAACUCCGUGCCAGCAGCCGCGGUAAUAC
rnacentral:rRNA from 1 species